GUGGGGAAUAUUGGACAAUGGGCGAAAGCCUGAUCCAGCCAUGCCGCGUGUGUGAAGAAGGUCUUCGGAUUGUAAAGCACUUUAAGUUGGGAGGAAGGGCAGUAAGUUAAUACCUUGCUGUUUUGACGUUACCGACAGAAUAAGCACCGGCUAACUUCGUGCCAGCAGCCGCGGUAAUACGAAGGGUGCAAGCGUUAAUCGGAAUUACUGGGCGUAAAGCGCGAGUAGGUGGUUUUGUAAGUUGGAGGUGAAAUCCCCGGGCUCAACCUGGGAACUGGCUCCAAAACUGCAUGACUAGAGUACGGUAGAAGGUAGUGGAAUUUCCUGUGUAGCGGUGAAAUGCGUAGAUAUAGGAAGGAACACCAGUGGCGAAGGCGACUACCUGGACUGAUACUGACACUGAGGUGCGAAAGCGUGGGGAGCAAACAGGAUUAGAUACCCGAGUAGUCC
rnacentral:rRNA from 1 species